rnacentral:rRNA from 1 species
GAUUAUGGCUCAGGAUGAACGCUGGCGGCGUGCCUAAUACAUGCAAGUCGAACGAGAGUGCUUGCACUCUAGUGGCGAACGGGUGAGUAACACGUAGGUAACCUGCCUUACAGUUGGGAUACCCUGGCGAAAGCUAGGCUAAUACCGAAUAAUUGGAUUGGAGGCAUCUCCGAUCUCUAAAAGGGGCCUUUAAAGCCUCGCUGAAUGAUGGACCUGCGGCGCAUUAGCUAGUUGGUGAGAUAACAGCCCACCAAGGCGAGGAUGCGUAGCCGACCUGAGAGGGUGAACGGCCACACUGGAACUGAGACACAGUCCAGACUCCUACGGGAGGCAGCAGUAGGGAGUUUUCGGCAAUGGGGGCAACCCUGACCGAGCAACGCCGCGUGAAUGAUGAAAGGUCUUCGGAUUGUAAAGUUCUGUUAUAAGGGAAAAAUGAUAUGGUGAGGAAAUGCUCCAUAUUUGAUGGUACCUUAUUAGAAAGCCACGGCUAACUACGUGCCAGCAGCGGC